rnacentral:rRNA from 1 species
UACGUAGGGCGCAAGCGUUGUCCGGAAUUAUUGGGCGUAAAGAGCUCGUAGGCGGCCAGUUGCGUCUGCUGUGAAAUCCCGGGGCUCAACCCCGGGCGUGCAGUGGAUACGGGCUGGCUAGAGGCAGGCAGGGGAGAACGGAAUUCCCGGUGUAGCGGUGAAAUGCGCAGAUAUCAGGAGGAACACCGGUGGCGAAGGCGGGUCUCUGGGCAGUAACUGACGCUGAGGAGCGAAAGCGUGGGGAGCGAACAGG